ACGUAGGGUGCUAGCGUUAUCCGGAAUUACUGGGCGUAAAGGGUGCGCAGGUGGUUUCUUAAGUCAGAGGUGAAAGGCUACGGCUCAACCGUAGUAAGCCUUUGAAACUGGAAACUUUAGUGCAGGGGAGGAGAGGGGAAUUCCUAGUGUAGCGGUGAAAUGCGUAGAUAUUAGGCGGAACACCAGUUGCGAAGGCGGCUCUCUGUACUGUAACUGACACUGAUGCACGAAAGCGUGGGGAGCAAACAG
rnacentral:rRNA from 1 species